UGGGGAAUUUUCCGCAAUGGGCGAAAGCCUGACGGAGCAAUGCCGCGUGGAGGUGGAAGGCCUACGGGUCGUCAACUUCUUUUCUCAGAGAAGAAACAAUGACAGUAUCUUAGGAAUAAGCAUCGGCUAACUCUGUGCCGG
rnacentral:rRNA from 1 species